GCGGUUUGUCGCGUCUGCCGUGAAAGUCCGGGGCUUAACCCCGGAUCUGCGGUGGGUACGGGCAGACUAGAGUGCAGUAGGGGAGACUGGAAUUCCUGGUGUAGCGGUGAAAUGCGCAGAUAUCAGGAGGAACACCGAUGGCGAAGGCAGGUCUCUGGGCUGUAACUGACGCUGAGGAGCGAAAGCAUGGGGAGCGAACAGGAUUAGAUACCCUGGUAGUCCAUGCCGUAAACGUUGGGCACUAGGUGUGGGGGACAUUCCACGUUUUCCGCGCCGUAGCUAACGCAUUAAGUGCCCCGCCUGGGGAGUACGGCCGCAAGGCUAAAACUCAAAGGAAUUGACGGGGGCCCGCACAAGCGGCGGAGCAUGCGGAUUAAUUCGAUGCAACGCGAAGAACCUUACCAAGGCUUGACAUGAACCGGAAUGAUGCAGAGAUGUGUCAGCCACUUGUGGCCGGUUUACAGGUGGUGCAUGGUUGUCGUCAGCUCGUGUCGUGAGAUGUUGGGUUAAGUCCCGCAACGAGCGCAACCCUCGUUCCAUGUUGCCAGCGGGUUAUGCCGGGGACUCAUGGGAGACUGCCGGGGUCAACUCGGAGGAGGGUGGGGACGACGUCAAAUCAUCAUGCCCCUUAUGUCUUGGGCUUCACGCAUGCUACAAUGGCCGGUACAAAGGGUUGCGAUACUGUGAGGUGGAGCUAAUCCCAAAAAGCCGGUCUCAGUUCGGAUUGAGGUCUGCAACUCGACCUCAUGAAGUUGGAGUCGCUAGUAAU
rnacentral:rRNA from 1 species